UAUAGCUCAAUGCUAGAGCACUUGCCUAGCAUGCAUGAAACCCUGGAUUUAAUCCCCAGUA
rnacentral:tRNA from 1 species